GCGGUGGUAGCUCAGUUGGUAGAGCAGUGGAUUGUGAUUCCGCUGGUCGCGGGUUCGAUCCCCGUCCAUCGCCCCA
rnacentral:tRNA from 2 species